UCCAGCUCAUCCCAUCCUCCCAUGGGACAGGGGAGAGAAAUGGCUGCAGAGGAGCCUGUUCAGAGGCCAGUGACUUAUGAGGAGGUGGCUGUUAUUUCACCAGGGAAGAGUGGGCUCUGCUGGACCCUGCUCAGAGAGCCCUCUACAGAGACGUCAUGCAGGAGAACUAUGAGAACGUGACCUUGCUGGGGGCCAAUGGCCUGCGAGGAGGGGGCUGUGUAUU